GAUCAUGGCUCAGGAUGAACGCUAGCGGCAGGCCUAAUACAUGCAAGUCGAACGGUAAACCCCUCGGGGGGUGAGAGUGGCGACGGGUGCGUAACGCGUAUGCAACCAGCCCCCCUCACCGGGAUAGCCGGUGGAAACGCCGGAUAAUACCGGAUGCGCAUCUGGGGAGGCAUCUCCCGAGGUGCAAGGCGGAGACGCGGAGGGGACGGCAUGCGUCCCAUUAGAUGGUUGGCGGGGUGACGGCCCACCAAGUCGACGAUGGGUAGGGGAUCUGAGAGGACGGUCCCCCACACUGGUACUGAGACACGGACCAGACUCCUGCGGGAGGCAGCAGUAAGGGAUAUUGGGCAAUGGGGGGAACCCUGACCCAGCCCAUGCCGCGUGAGGGAAUGAGGCCCUACGGGUCGUGAACCUCUUUUACACGGGGACAAGGACGGUGUCGUGAACGCCGUUUGAGGGUACCGUGGGAAUUAGCGUCGGCUAACUCCGUGCCAGCCGCGGC
rnacentral:rRNA from 1 species